rnacentral:rRNA from 1 species
UACGUAGGUGGCAAGCGUUGUCCGGAUUUACUGGGCGUAAAGAGCGCGCAGGCGGUCGUUCAAGUCGCGUGUGAAAGCCCCCGGCUCAACUGGGGAGGGUCACGCGAUACUGAUCGACUCGAAGGCGGGAGAGGGAAGUGGAAUUCCCGGUGUAGUGGUGAAGUGCGUAGAUAUCCGGAGGAACACCAGUGGCGAAGGCGACUUUCUGGCCUGUUCUUGACGCUGAGGCGCGAAAGCUAGGGGAGCAAACGGG